rnacentral:RNase_P_RNA from 2 species
ACGUUCGGAUAAUCGCUGCUUUUUGCAGAGGAAAGUCCAUGCUCGCACGAACUGAGAUGUUCGUAGUGAUCGUGCCUGGUCAAACAAUAAGCCAGGGCAUUCCGCAUUUGCGGUUUGACGGCAGGUGACGAGCCUAAGUCUUUUGAUAUGGCUUUCGAACCUUGAAGGUGCCACAGUGACGAAGUCCUUUUAGAAAUAAAAGGAGUGGAACGAGGUAAACCCCGCGAGCGAGAAACUCAAACUAUGGUAGGGGCACUUUUCCCGAGGAACUUGAACGAGGGAAGAGGCAGAAGCUUUUUUAGCUUGUGCAGAUAGAUGAUUAUCCCUUUACGAGGACCCUGUAAGUCGUAAAGGACAGAACAUGGCUUAUAGAG